CACCACUUAUUUGUUAUUGUGUAUGCACUGCUCGUUGUCCAUGGGAUCUGCUUAUAUCUAAGCAGGAAAUGGUACAAGAAAACGACUUGGAUGUACCUUGCUGUCCCUGUGCUCCUGUAUGUAAGUGAGCGCAUUAUUCGGCUAUUUAGGAGCCAUGAUGCUGUUAGGAUUCAGAAGGUUGCAGUAUAUCCAGGGAAUGUUUUGGCUCUCUAUAUGUCCAAGCCACCUGGAUUCAGGUACCGGAGUGGGCAGUAUAUCUUCAUAAACUGCCGUGCUGUCUCUCCAUACGAAUGGCACCCAUUUUCCAUUACAUCAGCACCAGGAGAUGAUUAUCUUAGUGUCCACAUUCGCACAAGGGGUGAUUGGACUUCACGUCUUAGGACUGUCUUCUCUGAGGCAUGCCGUCCUCCAACUGAUGGAGAAAGUGGACUCCUCAGAGCUGACCUUUCCAAGGGGAUCACUGAGAGCAACGCCAGGUUCCCAAAACUCUUAAUUGAUGGACCAUAUGGUGCUCCGGCACAAGACUAUCGGGAAUAUGAUGUGCUCCUGCUCAUUGGACUAGGCAUUGGAGCCACUCCAUUGAUUAGCAUUGUGAAGGAUGUACUUAACCACAUUCAGCAUGGAGGAUCUGUUGCAGGCACCGAGCCUGACGGCAGUGGCAAGGCCAAGAAGAGGCCAUUCAUGACAAAGAGAGCCUACUUCUACUGGGUGACCAGAGAAGAGGGAUCUUUUGAAUGGUUCCGAGGGGUCAUGAAUGAGGUGGCUGAGAAGGACAAGGAUGGAGUCAUUGAACUCCACAACCACUGCUCGAGUGUGUACGAGGAAGGGGAUGCACGUUCUGCCCUCAUUGUCAUGCUCCAAGAGCUCCAGCACGCAAAAAAGGGAGUCGACAUCUUGUCUGGAACUAGUGUCAAGACGCACUUUGCGCGUCCCAAUUGGCGAAGCGUCUUCAAACAUGUUGCAGUGAACCAUGAGAACCAACGCGUCGGAGUUUUCUACUGCGGUGAGCCCGUCCUUGUGCCACAGCUACGGCAGUUUUCAGCAGACUUCACCCACAAGACAAAUACAAAGUUUGAGUUCCACAAGGAGAACUUCUAAGGGCGUAACUGGAGAAGCGCUGGACGUGGUCCUCUAAUGAUUUCAGAAUGUGAAUGACAAGGGUUGUAAUAUAUAUACAAGUAGAUGAAUAAGACGAUGGGAGUUAUUUUGUUGUAGAUGUCAAAGUAGAUGAAGUGUCUUUGGGAACAUGACAUUUCAUUUUAAAGCUGGUUUUGACAGGUCUGUUGUGCUAUCUGCUCCUGUUGGGCAUACCUCUAUAGUGAAGAUCCGAGGAAGGUAUUUACAGCACAAGUGAGUCAGUUUCACUUGUGAUCGUGAACUCAUAUUGAUGCCUUGUACGCGUUGUUAAAUUUUAGUCAGCUAAAAUUAUUUUAGCUACUCUUGGAUGAUUAAUAAAACUAAACUAUUUUAGUUUUUUUAGUCAGUGUGUUUGGAAGUUUAGCUACUAAAGUGACUAGAAUUUAGUUAGGUAAAAUUUAGCAAAGGAAACCAAAUAUGCCCUGAGUACUUAGUUACUUGCGGUGCUGUAUAUAUUGUUUGAUGUCUCGGCAUUUCAGAGCUUGUGAUAAAGAAAUGAGCUUUCCCUUGCCCUUGGUGUUGCGUACGGAUGGCAGCAUGCCUGAACUGCUUUGAUCCAUUCUGCCACGGAUCGCCCGAAUGAACCGUGUCGCGCGGCCCACCAGUCGUCCGGACGCCUUUGCGCAGACGGACUUCUCAGCUCAAAGGGCCAUUGCUUAGCUCCGCCUCGGGCCGAGUUGCCCCUGGCCCCUGCGCUUCCCCAUCAAGAACGGAGAGAGUUUUUUCAAAAAAAAAAAAAGAACGGAGAGAGUUCCUCGGAAAAAAGAGAGAGGAAAAAAAACGGAACGGACAGAGUAGACCCGCCGCCCACAGCAGCCAGCCAUCAUUACCAUCACCUGUCCAGGUCUCAGGAAGGUGGUUCGCGCACACGGGAGUGGAGGCGGAGGUUCUAGUCGCCUUGCUCGUUUGGUGUUCGACGAAAUGUCUGUUACCACCCAGGAGAUGCCAGCAGAGUGGUUGGAUUAUACAUCGAGGACAAUGGCGACUGUAAACAGACUGCCCUCAUGGGUCGCAAUCAUGUCGAUGUUCAUGACCGAGGCGGUGCCGCUUUGAUGCACUGAGCCAAAGGAGCAAAUCUGCAGACUCUAUGGUUGUGCAUAGAUAGGCCAAAGGUCUGCCUUGUCGUCCACAUUUGUGGUGUCAAACCCAACCCCUAAUGAGUCAGCAGUAGGGAGUUUCCAUUGCAGAAGGAGCCAGAUAAAGAAUUGGCACUUUGGUUCGACUUUUAGUUUCCAGAUUUUGCUCCAGUUGUGAUCCGGGUAUGCACCAAUGAAUUGAACAUGGUAAGAAGAUGUUGCCGUAUAUUGGCCAGACGCGAGCGCCAAGUAAUACCAUCUUCCCGUUCUGGUAGCGUUGAGUCCAUACUUCAGUGAACUGUCAUAACUCUUCAUUAUUGGCCAUGUGAAGUAAGCUGCACACCCGUCAUCUUCCUUGCAAUGCUGUGUCUACCGUUUGAUUUUGUGCCAAAAAAGCCAAAAGCUGGAGCAGUAUCCUUAGGUGCACAGCCAUUUAACCAGUUAUCCUUCAAGACCCUUGCUCUUUUUCCAUUCCCAACUUGAAACCUUGUUCUUUUCCCAUUCCCAAGUUGAAGGACUGUACAAUGCUUGGGGAGUUUCUCCUCAGUGCUAUUCAAAUUGAUUGGCAGGGCUGUCCAUGGCUUAUUUGGGCUGUCCGUUUGUACCAUAACCAUCCUAAUCUCAAGGCACGGUUGAAGUAUGCCAGGUCCUGUAUGCCCAGGCCACUGAGCCCAGCUCUUUGCUCUUAAGGACAAUCUUGCUAAGGACUUGUUUUAACUUGAUGGCUCUGAGAUCUCAUUAGUGUGCCUUUUCUAGACUUAGAAGCCACCAUGAUAGUGGGGUUUUAGAAACCGGAUAGGCUAUUGCUUUUAAGUUUUUAGAGCCCAAUUCACCCUCUUCCCCCCUCUUACACUAAGCAAUUUUAAAAAUGCAUGGAGUACCUUUUGAAAGUGAUUUUCUCUGUUAUCAUUGUAUUCAACAUUUUUUCGUGGUACAGAGGGGAUACUAAAUGGCUCAAUGCUAGGUAGAACAAAUGCAUAUGCAUUUGCAUAAUGAGUGGGUCGUGAACUUGGCAGAAUGACAAUUGUGGACCUAAACUCUUAACAUUAUGCGUCAGACGAAAUUCUCUCAUCUCAUUUAAAAUUUUGCGCACAUCGGACGCAUCUAACAUACAGAUGGGCAUCUCAAUACCUGUUCUAGCGUUAACAGCCCGUGAGACUAAGGGCACCCUGUUUAGCAAUACUUUUUAGCGAAUAAACAGUGCUUUCUCUCACUAACAUAAGAAUCAGCAUAAGCUAAAUUUCAGCUAAACAAAUAGGACCUCGAGAUUCCGUAACUAUGCCACUCGAGUACUAAUCAAAUACUCUGACACACACAUACACACACACACACACACACAAGCUACUAGACUAAAAAAAAAGAAUGACUUCUUUAUGCAGAAGCACGUGAACCUGGGUGACUGGGCCUCGAGAUUUGGCUCAACAAUAAUUUUUGCAAGUGGCAAAUUUUGUAAUGGCAAAAUGAACAUGGCCAGCCAUGACGGUUUUAGAUGUUGAGAUUUAAAAUUAACAUGCCUCACUGGCUGUUAACGUUAAUGUGCCUCAGUCUGGUCAAUGUUUGCUCUGAACAUCUAAAAGGAAUCCAUUGCUCAGCUGGUGGCUGCUGCAAGCUGGAGUGAGAAGCCAACCUCUCACGGGUUUCAGAGCUUCGGAUCAAACGCUAGGAGAAUUUUAUUUUAGGCGAUUAUCAUGCAUUAUGUACAAAACGUCAUUUUUCUAUUGUGGUUGCUGCUACAACCAACCAAACGCAUCCACUUGGCUCCCCAAAGGUCAAUGCACUGGCAUUCGUCUUCAUCUACCUCCAAAGCGGCAAAGCGCUUGCUCGGGCCAUUCCUUUCUGCACUCUGAAGCCGUGUUUUCCCUGAGUUUGUUCUGAGCGUGUGUGUUCUCGUGAGCUCCGACUACUGCUCCAAUGGGGGAGCUAGUGGUCAGCAUGGUGGUUGGGCCACUGCUGUCCCUGGUGAAGGAGAAGGCGUCGAGCUACCUCCUGGAGCAGUACAAGGUGAUGGAGGGCAUGGAGGAGCAGCACAAGAUCCUGAUGCGCAAGCUGCCUGCCAUCCUCGACGUCAUCGCCGACGCUGAGGAGAAGGCGACCCACCGAGAAGGAGCCAAGGCAUGGCUCAAGGAGGUCAAGGCGGUGGCGUACGAGGCAAAUGAAGCAUUUGAUGAGUUCAACUACGAGGCGCUCCGCCGUGAAGCCAAGGAGAAGGGGCACAUCCGCAAGCUUGGCUUCGAGGGAGUGAAGCUCUUUCCUACUCACAACCGUGUUGCAUUCCGUAAGAAGAUGGGCAACAAGCUUAGCAAGAUUGUGCAGACCAUUGAAGUUCUUGUGACUGAGAUGAAUACAUUUGGAUUCAACUAUCAAAACCAAGCACCAGCACCAAAGCAGUGGCGUGAGACUGAUUCCAUCCUUGUUGACUCCGAGAAUAUUGCUGCCAAAUCAAGAGAUGCAGAGACGCAGAAUAUUGUUAAGAUGCUGAUUGAUAGAGCUAACUUUGCAGAGCUCACUGUCCUUCCUAUUGUUGGAAUGGGUGGGUUGGGCAAGACUACCCUAGCUCAGCUCAUCUACAACCACCCUGAUGUCAAGAAGCAUUUUGAACUAUGCAAAUGGGUCUGUGUGUCAGAUGAGUUCGAUGUUUUUAAGCUUGCAAACAAGAUCUGCAAUAAGUCUGAGAAGAACCUUGAAGAGGCACAGAAGACGCUCCAGAAUGAACUUAAAGGAAAGAGGUAUCUUAUUGUGUUGGACGACGUCUGGAACGAGGACAGUGACAAGUGGGAAAAGCUAAAAGCCAGCCUUAAGCAUGGUGGGAACGGUUGUGCCGUAUUGACAACCACUCGCAAGGAAGGAGUUGCGAAACUAAUGGGUACAGUUAAAGCCCAUGACAUUGUACUUCUGGAUGCCGAAGCCAUAAAGAAAAUUAUAGAGACUAAAGCAUUUGGUUCACAAGAGAAGAGGCCAACUGAGCUACUGGUCUUGGUUGAUGGCAUUGUGGAGAGAUGUGCAGGAUCUCCCUUGGCCGCCAAUGCACUAGGAUCUGUGCUGCGUGGGAAGACAAGUCCAGAAGAAUGGAAGGCUGUCCAAAGCAAAAGCAUCGCCCAUAACAAAGAAGAUAAAAUCCUGCCUAUUCUCAAGCUCAGUUACGAUGACCUGCCAUCAUAUAUGAAGCAGUGCUUUGCUUUCUGUGCUGUGUAUCCCAAGGACACUGAGAUUGACAUGGAACACCUGAUCCAACUAUGGAUGGCAAAUGGCUUUGUUCCCAAAGAAAAAGACAUUCGUCUUGAAACCACUGGUAAACACAUUUUCCAGGAGCUUGUCUCAAGGUCAUUCUUUCAAGAUGUGAAGCAAAUCAAAGGGGAUAGUGAGGGCAGUGAUGUGGAUUGGUAUUGCCCUAGCACUACAUGUAAAAUCCAUGAUCUCAUGCAUGAUGUGGCACUGUCUGCCAUGGAAAAUGAAGUUGCUACCAUAAUUGAUGAGAAGCCAAAGCAGAGUGAGUUUCUUCAAAACACUUGUCGCCAUAUAGCUUUGUUGUGUGAUGAGCCAGAGGCCAUUUUGAACAGUUCUCUGAAGACAAGAUCAUCAGCUAUCCAAACACUACAAUGUGGAAGAAUCAAAAGUUCACUACAUCAUGUAGAAAAAUACAGCUCAUUGCGAGCCUUAUUAUUCUCUCAAAGAAAGGGCACAUUCCUACUGAAACCAAGGUAUCUACAUCACCUGAGGUACCUUGAUGUUUCGGGGAGUUUUAUAGAGUCCCUUCCAGAAGAUAUAAGCAUCUUAUAUCAUCUGCAUACGCUGGAUGUUUCUCACUGUUGGCAUCUUAGCCGGCUUCCAAAGCAAAUAAAGUACAUGACUGUACUCCGUCACCUCUACACUCAUGGAUGUCAGAAUUUGGAGGGCCUGCCUCCAAAGCUUGGGCAACUCACUUCCCUGCAAACACUCACUAAUUUUGUAGUGGGUACAGGGCCUGAUUGCAGUAGUAUUGGAGAGCUGCAACAUCUAAAUAACCUUAGUGGUUCACUGCAGCUUAGUAAACUCGAAAAUGUGACAGAAGCAAUAGAUGCAAAGAUGGCCCAUCUUGAAAAUAAAAAGGAACUCACAGCAUUGUCAUUAAGAUGGACAACUACCGAGGAGGAUAAACCAAACUGUCUUAAGGUCCUUGAAGGUCUAGAAGCUCCUUAUGGACUUAAGGCUCUAAGGAUAAAUGAUUACCGAGGAACCAGUUUCCCAGCGUGGAUGGGUAUGCUGCCAAACAUGGUCGAGCUUCAUCUUUAUGAUUGUAAGAAGUCAAAGAAUCUUCCACCAUUGUGGCAAGUACCAACUCUGCAAGUUUUAUGUUUAAAAGGAUUGGAAGAAUUGCAAUGCUUGUGUAGUGGUGAUACAUUCUUCAGUUUUCCUAGUCUGAAGGAGCUUAUGCUGGUUGGACUGCCUGCUUUCGACAGAUGGUGCGAAGUAAACUGGCUCCAAGGGGAGCAGGUAAUAUUUCCUCAACUUGAGAAGUUGUCCGUUAAGAAAUGUGAAAAGCUGAUAUCAUUGCCAGAAGCAGCACCGCUCGGACAAUCAUGCAGUCAGAAUCGUACUGAGAUAUGGUCACCAUUUCCAGCAUUGAAGAUACUCAAAUUAAAAGUUCUAGAGAGCUUUCAUGGAUGGGAGGCGAUCAAAGCCACUCAAAGGCACCAGAUAAUUCCGUCAAAAAAAGGACACCAGAUAAUGUUUCCUCAUCUUGAAAAGUUAUCUAUUCGCAGCUGCCAAGAGUUGAUAACUCUACCAGAAGCUCCACUGCUUGAAGAAUUUUGUGGGGUACAUUAUAAAAUGGCACUCUCAGCAUUUCCAGUACUGAAGGUGCUAAAGUUGAGAAAGUUAGAUAAAUUUCAAAUAUGGGGAGCAGCUGAUGAAGCAAUUCUAGGACAACAUAUAAUAUUUCCGUGCCUUGAAAAUUUAUCAAUUGGUUAUUGCCAAAAUCUGAUAGCACUACCGGAAGGACCAUUGCUCCAUGAAUUGUGUGGUGGAGAUUAUGAAAAGGCACGUUCAGCAUUUCCGACAUUGAAGGUACUUCAAUUGAAGGAACUGGAGAAUUUUGAGAGAUGGGGAGCAGCUGAUGAAGGAACUCAAGGACAACAGAUAAUAUUUCCGUGCCUUGAAAAUUUAUCAAUUCUUAAUUGUCAAAAUCUGACAGCACUACCGGAAGGACCAUUGCUCCAUGGAUUGUGUGGUGGAGAUUAUGAAAAGGCACGCUCAGCAUUUCCGACAUUGAAGGUACUUGAAUUGAAGGAACUGGAGAAUUUUGAGAGAUGGGGAGCAGCUGAUGAAGGAACUCAAGGACAACAGAUAAUAUUUCCGUGCCUUGAAAAUUUAUCAAUUCUUAAUUGCCAAAAUCUGACAGCACUACCGGAAGGACCAUUGCUCCAUGGAUUGUGUGCUGGAGAUUAUGAAAAGGCACACUCAGCAUUUCCGGCAUUGAAGGUACUUGAACUGGAGAAGCUAGAGAAUUUUGAGAGAUGGGAACAAGUUGGGGCAACUCAAGGAGGAGACACGAUGUUCCCACAUCUUGAAGAGUUAUCGGUUCGUAACUGCCCAAAGGUGACAGCAUUACCGGCAGGUACAUCAUCUCUGGCACCAUCAGUCGGCCGUAGUGAUAUUACAACACGGUCAUUUUUUCCAAAAUUAAAGAAAAUCGAGUUCUUUUGUUUAGAGAGUUUUGAAAGCUGGGGAGUGACGGAAGCAAUUAAUGGUGAACAAUGGAUAUUCCCUGAACUUGAGACUGUCUCUAUUUCUGGAAUCCCAGGGUUGACAACUCUACCUGAGGUACCAAAGCUCAGCUCAUUUGAAAUAAUAUAUGGCCACCAGCAGAUCUUCUUAGCAGCAAUUCCUAGAGUUAUUGAUUCAUUAUCCAAACUAGUGAUAUCUUUCAACGAUCCAGCAGCAGCAGCCUUACCAGCUUGGCAUGGUGCGUUUGAGCUGGCGGACAGCAGCAGUAUUAAAUCCCCUCUGACAAGUCUGCAGCUAGGAAGCAACUGCAAUUUGCUCUUCCACUCAAGCGCACUAGCACUAUGGACAUCUUUUGUACAGCUCCAAGAUCUGAGAAUUCAGUACUGUGAUGCGCUUGUCUACUGGCCAGUGGAGGAGUUCCAGAGCUUGGUGUCCUUGAGGAAUCUGGAAAUUGAGGACUGCAAUAAACUGAUUGGAUACGCACCAGCUGCUCCUGGCCAAUCAACAUCAGAAAGGAGCCAACUUCUGCCCAACCUCGAGUCUCUAAACAUAAGUUAUUGUGAAAUUCUGGUAGAGAUCUUCAACAUGCCCACAUCUCUCAAGACAAUGGAGGUUCUGAGGUGUCCUGAACUUAAGUCCAUAUUCGGCAAGCAACAGGACAAGACGACAUGGAAUCAAGGGCCUAGCACUGACGUCAUGGCAUCCACAGCUGCUGUACCAGAGCUGUCUUCAUCGGCCAGCCGGGAUCGCUUCCUUCCGUGCCUUGAAUCCCUUUUCAUACGGCAGUGUGGCAGCUUGUCAGAGGUUGUCAACCUUCCACCAUCCCUCAGGAAAAUAGAAAUUUCGGGUUGCGACAAACUACGACUCCUCUCGGGCCAGCUGGAUGCACUCCGAACACUGAAGAUUCAUUGGUGCCCAAGGUUGAGAUCACUGGAAUCUACCUCCGGAGAGCUCCAAAUGCUGGAAAUCCUCCAACUUUGGAAUUGCAAAAUCCUAGCACCAUUCUUGUCCAGUGGGCCACAAGCAUACUCAUAUCUUCGUUACUUUACAAUUGGAGGCUGCCCAGGUAUAAAGUCGCUCCCUUCGUCCCUGCGGCAGCGACUGGACAGCCUCGAAAUAUAUCUGGAUGCUCGUUAUCAAGGUGCAAAGCUACUGAAGCCAAAGACAUGGAAAUAUGCGAGCUGUAGAAAUUAGUGAGCUGGAAUUGGAAAUAACGCGAAGCACAAAGAAAGGUUAAUAAACAGGGACUGAUGUGCCUUGUUUACUGUCAGCAGCCAAACAUCAUGUAUAUAAGGGUCUAAAUUUCUCUUCCACAAGCAUGAGAUGUAACACUAUUAUUUUCGCAUCAAAUGGAUGCAGACUUGGGAUAUUGAAACUACUUCCCAUGGAAUACAUAUACAUCUUGGUUGUUAUUA